rnacentral:lncRNA from 1 species
AUGGCUGAAAUACGAGCCCAACGUUUGAAAAAUUUGUUCGACGCAGUUCUCCACGGAAAGAAGGCUAUAACCUCAAUCAAUGCGAGUCUGUUUUUAGAAUCGAUUUGUGAACAAUCUCCGGUAGUAACAAGCAUUUCGUGUUUAGUGUCUAGCCCGCAUGGUCUGGAGGCUUUACUGUCAGCUUUAAGCUGCGACACCUCCCUUGAUUUUCUUAACGGACCGCUGACCUCGUUUUUAGAGUACAUCAAAGCACCGGAUCUGCAGACUAUCCAAGAUGGUAGAGCGGUUCGGCAGAUCAUUGCAAAGCUGAUGGAAGCCCCUCUAACGUGGAAAAGUCUCGUCAAAGCGGCACACGAUCGGACUUUGAAAGAUCGUGCUCUUGGCGUAUUUGCAUGGAUUCUUGUACAACUGCUUUAUUUGCCGGUCAAGGAAGCCGCCGCUUACUUGUCUGUAGCACGAGAUCCUUCUAUUCAAAGAGCUCUCCUUGAAUCUUCCUCGUACGAUGUCAAGAGCCAAGGAGAACUAAUCAAGCAAAUCGCCGAUAAAAUAGCUGAAAGCUCAGGCUCGGAGGAGCCAGUUCUGAAGAUUACACAACGUGACCCUGGUGGACGACAUGACAAUGAUUUUCCUGAGAUUCACAGGAUCUCCAUCUAUCCGACCCCAGAUGAGCUGAAAGCAACGGCUAGAUACUUGCCCAGGCCUUGCGAUGCCGAAGACAGAGCUCAGGAAUCGGAUGCUCUUGCCAGUCAUAUUGACUGUCAAUUCCGUCUGCUCCGCGAGGACAUGCUUUGCGAAUUGCGUGAGGAUCUUGCAGCGGUUACGCAGCCUAAACAGAAGGGCAGAAAACCUCUCGAGAUUCGGAACCUUUCUUUGGUAGGUGUGCAUUGCGACCGACGCUUACCAUGGUCCGUAAAACUUCGUUGUGAAAAUGAUUUACCGCAAUUACGUCACUUAAAACCUGCAGAGCGUGCAAAUUAUUUCAAAACUAGACCAAAGUUUUUAAAAACUGGUACCUUUGUCUGCCUGUAUGUUAGCCGUGAGUUUGUCACUCUUGGCACUCUAGUUCGAGAGGAGGAGCUUCUUAUUAAGAAAUCUAUUUUGUGCGUUCAGCUUCCUGCUAGGAAUUUAGAAGAGGUAUUAUUGAAGCUUAAUAAAAAAAAUGCUUAUCCAUGCAUACGUCUAGUAUUGAUAAGUUGUGCUAUUUUCGCUUAUGAACCUGUAUUAAAGCAAUUGCAAAAAAUGAAGAAACUCGCUUUGAGCCCAGAGAUUGUAUCUUGGCAAGCCAGUAAUGAUAUUUUACCCCCAAAAUAUAGUCUUGCACAUUCUUAUGAACGAAUUUCAUCCGAUGAGUGUUCUACCCCUGAUGAAUGUUUAUCCUCUGAUGAAUAUUCUUCCUCUGAUGAAGAAAAUCUUGUUGAAUGGCCCUCUCGUGAUGAUUCAUCUUCCUCUAACGAAUGCUCUUCCUCCAGCGAAUGUUCCUCCGUAACGAAGCGACUAAAAAGCCUUAAGUGUAACAAUAAUUCAAGUGAUCCUUUACCCAUUGUCGAACUAGAGAAUUCAGGUAUUGUUCUAGAUAGUGCUCAAAAGAAUGUUUUCAAGCAGCUCUCCAGCAGAGAGUCGCAUUAA